rnacentral:rRNA from 1 species
AACGAACGCUGGCGGCAGGCCUAACACAUGCAAGUCGAGCGCCCCGCAAGGGGAGCGGCGGACGGGCGAGUAACGCGUGGGAACGUGCCCCAAGGUACGGAAUAGCCCCGGGAAACUGGGGGUAAUACCGUAUGUGCCCUACGGGGGAAAGAUUUAUCGCCUUGGGAUCGGCCCGCGUUGGAUUAGGUAGUUGGCGGGGUAAUGGCCUACCAAGCCGACGAUCCAUAGCUGGUUUGAGAGGAUGAUCAGCCACACUGGGACUGAGACACGGCCCAGACUCCUACGGGAGGCAGCAGUGGGGAAUCUUAGACAAUGGGCGCAAGCCUGAUCUAGCCAUGCCGCGUGAGCGAUGAAGGCCUUAGGGUUGUAAAGCUCUUUCAGGGGGGAAGAUAAUGACUGUACCCCCAGAAGAAGCCCCGGCUAACUCCGUG